rnacentral:rRNA from 1 species
GAUGAACGCUGGCGGCGUGCCUAAUACAUGCAAGUCGAGCGAACGGACGAGAAGCUUGCUUCUCUGAUGUUAGCGGCGGACGGGUGAGUAACACGUGGAUAACCUACCUAUAAGACUGGGAUAACUUCGGGAAACCGGAGCUAAUACCGGAUGAUAUUUUGAACCGCAUGGUUCAAUAGUGAAAGACGGUCUUGCUGUCACUUAUAGAUGGAUCCGCGCUGCAUUAGCUAGUUGGUAAGGUAACGGCUUACCAAGGCAACGAUGCAUAGCCGACCUGAGAGGGUGAUCGGCCACACUGGAACUGAGACACGGUCCAGACUCCUACGGGAGGCAGCAGUAGGGAAUCUUCCGCAAUGGGCGAAAGCCUGACGGAGCAACGCCGCGUGAGUGAUGAAGGUCUUCGGAUCGUAAAACUCUGUUAUUAGGGAAGAACAAAUGUGUAAGUAACUGUGCACAUCUUGAUGGUACCUAAUCAGAAAGCCACGGCUAACUACGUG